GUGUUGCCGCACCUGGUUGCAUACACCUGUGUAUGUGCGUGCGCAUAUCCGUAGGACUGAGCGUAUGUCUUUUUUUCUGAGAGAUUUACAGCAGGUCAUUAAUUCCACUGGACCGAACUAAUUAUCUAAUGGUUCUGGGCACUGUCCUUUCUGUUCUGAAGGGCACUGGGGCAGGUUUGUUGCGCAGGUAGCUACGCAUCAGAAACCCGUCAGGUGGAGUGAUUAGCAGAUGGCUUUGUACUUCCUGUUUGGCUGAGCUCAGUAGAGCUGAACCUGUCAGUGGAUCUUUGCGUUCUGCGAGGUGAGGAAUCAGGGCAAUCAGGCUUGAUGUACUUUCUGGGCGUCAUGUGACCUUCCCUAAAAUGGCCUGGCAUUUUGCUCCGGUCUUCGGUGAACGCCCACCCAGCCUCUCUGUCUGAGCUGAGCGCGGGCCCCAAAUGCCAGACAUUUGAAGUCAUGCAGUUUAACGGACGAUUCGCGGGACUUCAAUAAACACCAAAACUCCCACAAAGAAAAGUCCAUUAAUGGUACGGGCCGUUUCUGUUCUCCCGAGGCGGAGGACGAACCGAACGCUCGGACGUCACUUAAACGUGAGUCAGGAAUCAGAAGUCAACGACCCACCAACCAAUCCGGUCAGUUUCGGGACUCUGCGGAAGACUGCAGAGACUUCCGGAGAAGUUUGUCUGGGUGUCUCCUUUAACACGAUCAUAAUUCAGAGCACGAGAGCGGCGUGUGACCUGCAGUAAUCCUGCUUAUGUUUAAGGUUCGGUUUAAUGUUCCCCUAAUUCACGCGGACCGAGGGACCCUGUCCUCUCCGGUGCAUAUUGCAUGGUGCAGCUCAGAGUGAGCCGGGUCUUUGACCGUGCUAGGACUCCGGCCCCUCCCCAGGCACGCUGGCUUUAAUUGGGGUUUGAAGGGUAAACGCUCCGCGCCGCGGCGUGGGCGGGGGCUGCGGUGUGACCUCUGCUCGUACAGAUUUUAGGCGAGUAGCUCCAGGGCGCGGUUAGACGCCAGGUCGGAACGGAAAGGAGAUACGGACAGAGCCACGCCUAUUUAUUUAUUUAUUUAUUUAUUUAUUUAUUUAUUUAUUUAUUUAUUUGCUGAACUCGUAUAAUUAGUCCUUUACUUUUGCGCCCAGUUCGUCGUUCUCAGUUCCGCUAACACUCAGCCUCUCUUUGCUGGCGUUGCGUGAUUCUGGCCGAACCUCUACCCUCCCGCUCAGACCGAAGCACGAUAAAACCAUUAAAGAUUCCAGAGACAAACACCGCCCUCUCGCUUACAUUUAAAAAACGAUAGCAACAAGGUCUGCGCUCAAUACCGUGGACGGGGUUAUCUUACAGGAAUGAAUCGCCUGACGAAUUGGGUGGUUCUGGCUGGAAGUAUGUUCAGGUUGCACAAUGUUUAUCUCUCCGGUUGACAGUUUGUAAAUGGGAGAAUAUGAGCCCCCGCUCUUCCUGCAACCUGUGGAGCCAUACGGGAGACAUAUUGGGGGUAUUUUUAUUCUCCAUUUAUAUCCUGCUCCUAGGCCAGAUUACCCACAACCACUGCUCUUUUCAUUUUAAAGAUGAUACGCAACUAUGUUUGUCUUUAAUGCAGAUUUUCAUGAAUCUCCAAUGUAUAAGAGACGAAUUUCGUAUUGGAGAUUGAAUUUUCUCCAACUGAAAUCAGGUGAAACUGAAGUUCUUUUACUGCGUUCAAAGCAACCAGAUAUUUAUUAUUCAUGUAAGUGUGGGUACCAUAAUGUGGGAACCAUACUAUAAUAGAAAAAUAAAGAAUUUCAGUGUCAUUACUCAUUCCCUCUUUGACACAAUAAGCUAUAAUAAUAAUAAUAAUAAUAAUAAUAAUAUUUACAAUACUCACCCUCACUCUAGAUGUCAGAUUUGUGUAUCUGUGUGUGAUAAAGCAUGUGAGUGCAUGGGUUUGAGAGAGAAUACCUGUGUGAGUGUGUGAGAGAGAGAGAGACAGAGAGAGUGUUGUGUGUAUGUAUGUGUGUGUGUGUGUGUGAGAGACACAGAGAUAGAGAGAGUGUGUGGGUAGCGUCUCUCUGGCUGUGCUGUGCAAAAAUAACAACAAAAAGUGCGUGCGUGUGUGUUAGUGGGCAGUGUGUACUUGUGUGUGUGUGUGUACAUAUUUGUUUGUGAAUAGUCUGAUAAGUGUGUGGGUAUUCAUGAAUUGUGUGUGUGUGCGUGAGAGACACAGAGAAAGAGAGAGAGUGUGUGGGUAGCGCCUCUCUGGCUGUGCUGGAUUAGAUGGGUGUUUAAUUUCAAAUUUAGAUGGACCUUCUGCUACUGUCCAGAGGAAAUCUCUCUCUCUCUUUCUCUCUCUCUCUCCCUCCCUUGCUCUCUUUUUCUUCCUCUUUCUCUCUCUGUCUCUCACUUUCUCUCUCUCCCUGUCUCUUUGUAUCUUGCUCUGUCUCUCCCUCUUCCUCUGGUAUUUGUGAUAUAUGUGGGGGCAAAGGGAGGUCGUGGACUGUGGGUUGUGAUGCUGCUGGAUUUCACAUGGAGAGUCUUCUUCUCAUCUGCUGGACUUGGAGAUACGCAAGUUGGAGAAAUGGCUCUCUGCUCUAUUUUUCCCUCUUUUUCCCCCCCGAUAAAAAGGAGGUCAGAGUUGAGGUGACUAAGACUUUUGCACAGUACUGUAUAUCGGGAUGACACUGGAAGGGUGAUUCCUCAUAAAGAUCAGUUUGUCUCAGGGGCCCAUGAAGUCCACCAUACUGAAUUUUACACCUGCGCACAAUGUAUGAUAAACCAUCAAAAACGUGCAUGGCACAGCUUUAACAUUAAAACAUAAAAUCAUUUACGCUA